UGGGUGACAAGAGUGAAACUCUAUCUCAGAAAAAAAAUAAAAAUUAAAAACUACAAUUAGCAAACUGUUCUAUGUUUUUUAAAGCUCAGCUUUUUCUAGUCCUAUAAACCCAAUUGAUAAUAAUGUGGACUUUGACAAAUCAUUUAAUCUCUCUGAGUCUGUUUCAUUACCUGAAAAAUGAGUAAUUUAGAUUAUUUCUAGUUAUUCGUUAUAAUUAAAAUAAUGCAUCAGUCGGCAUCCAUAUAGAUAUAUCCUGCACAUUUGCUCAAGUGUUUCUGUAGUAUAGAUUCCUAGCAGGGGAAAUAAGUGUAUCAUAGGGUGUGUGUAUUUUAAAUUUCGGUAAAUAAUUGCCAAAUGAUCCUCCAGAAUGUAGCCCCAAUUUACAUUCUCAUCAACAGUGCAUGAAAGACCACACUUUUUGACGUUUAAUAUUAUUAACAUUUUUCUAAGCAGAUCAGUUAAAAUUUUUUUUUGUUUAUGCAUCAGUUGUAUUGAGCGUAUGUUUUAUAUGCUUAUGGUUUGUUUGUAUUUAUUUUCUAUAAACUGAUUUUGCAUAUUUUGACCCAUUUUUUCAUUUGGGUUUUUCUUACUGAUUUAUAAUUGACAUUUAGGUAUGUGUAUAAUAGAUACAUUUUGUUUAUUUGGGAACAUGCAUCAGUAGGCAUAGAAUUUUCUUCCUUCUUUUUUGUUUUUUUUUCUCUUCUGCUUUUCUUGACUCUAAACUGGAAAAUCUUUAAUCUCUUUCUAAACUAUGAUACAGUUUUCAUAACUUUAAUGUAUAGUCUAUUUCCACACUGCUAUAAAGAACUACCUGAGACUGGGUAAUUUAUGAAGGAAACAAGUUUAAUUGACUCACAGUUCCACAGGCUUAACAGGAAGCAUGACUGGGAGGCCUCAGGAAACUUAACAAUCAUGGCGGAAGGUGAAAGAUGUCUUAAGAUGGCAGUAGGAGAGAGGGAGUGAAGCGGUAAGUGCCGCAUACUUUUAAACCAUCAGAUCUGACGAGAACUCACUAUCACGAGAACAGCAAAGGAGAAUCUGCCCCCGUGAUCCAGCCACCUCUCACCACACCCCUGCUCCAAUCUGCCAUGAGAUUUGGGUGGAGACACAAAUGCAAACUAUAUCACUUAGAAUUAUUUAUCCUUUAAAAGUUGGUACAACCGGAGGCUGAGGCCGGCAGAUCACAAGACAAUCUUUCAUUUCACGGAGGUUUCGAAGUUUGUCAGUAUACAAUUGCACAAGCUACUUCUUUCAAGUACCUUGAGACAUUUAUGUAUCUUACAGAUCUUUUCAUCUAUUUUAUCAAAUUUAGUGUAUUUUUAUUUUCAUCAAUCUGCUUUCUCUGGAGUUAUCAUUAUUGUUUUCUCUUCUCUUUCUAUCUUUUUAAAUUGAAUGUUCAGUUAAUUUGUCAUUCUUUCUUAUUUUCUAUGAAAUACAAUAUAAAUAAUAAAUUUUGAUCUGUGUAUCAUUUUGGUCAUAUAUCUUAGAUUAUGAGGUGGGUACCCUCAUUGUCUCAUCUCUAAGUAGUUUUGAUUUUGCAACUGUCUUUACAUAUCAGUAAAUGUGUAUCAAUCUAUCAUAGCAUUCCAUUGUAAAGACACAUCCUACUUUCUUUAAUCUAUCACCUCAUGUUGGAAGUUGUUACUGUUCCCAAUUUCAUUACUGUUAUGAAUAAUGUUAUAAUGAAUAUAUUUGUUCACCAGUUCACUUAUUUCUUUAGAAUAAAAUCUGAGAAAAUUUUGAUCAAUGUAUAUGGUCACAUUUUUAGUCUUUUGAAACACAUUUCAAAAUUUCCCAUCCAAAAGGCUAUAUCGAUUUUCAGACUGUCAUCAGCAAAGCAUGAGAAUUCUCAUUUCCUCACAUCUGCAACACUAAGAAUUCCUAGGGUUUGGCUUUAGGAGAAUGAGCUACACAAGACUAAGAUAUGGUCGUCCCUGUACAGUUACCAUCACCUCCAAGGCUGAUAAGAUUAAGAAAGAAAGAAAUGAAAUCAUGGGACCAAAAUGUUGGACCUGGAAGGACCCCAAAAGUCAUGUCAUUUAGCCACUUUAUUUUUACAAGCCAGGAAAUUAAACCAAAUGGCUUUUUAUGCUUUUCAAAUUUUUCUACAUUAAGAAAUUCUCGAUUAAAUGUUCUCAAAGCAUUAUUAAUAAAUGCUUGUUAAACUAUCCAUGCUACGUAUUUUUAUAAAGAAGGGGAAACAUGACAUAUGUAUAAUCCUCUCAUCAUCAACAUAUUUAUUAAGGGCUAACUAGGUAAAAGAUUUAAAUGCUUAGAAUAAAUUUUGUCGUUAAAGAUGGUCCUUUACACUUUGGGAGGCCAAGGCGGGCAGAUCACGAG